rnacentral:misc_RNA from 1 species
AUAGCAAGCUUGUAAUUCAUCUUCUGGUAGGUAGAACCCAACAGUUCGACUAACCUUCUCUUGUAUACUUGGUAAAGGGGACCAUAAAAGCCCCACUCAUCUGAUUCAGCAGCUUUAACAUCAUCAUUCUUCAAUGCCUUCAAGACCAUGCAUGUGUACUCGCCGGUUACACUAUUUGGGGCAUUGCCUAUGAAAAAUGGAGCAAACUUAUGUUUUCUCCAAAAGCGGAAGAGAUCCAAUGUAAGUCCAAAUGAGACACCAAGGUAAUGGAGCCUUUCAGGCCGUCUUUCACCUAAAGGAACAAGCAAUGGAGGAAGAUCUGUUCUUGGUCUUAUAUUUUCUUCAAGCAAAGAUACCUCCUGAGCAGCUUCAGUUACAUUGACUUGAGGAGUCUCCAAUGUAUCUUCUGUCUCUACUUCGGAUAAUUGCGUAAACUGACCCUCAAAGUACCUAUUAAACACAUUCAGUAGAAAAAUGCAUAAUAUGUACUGAACUGAAAACACAUUAAUCUA